GCCUACAGCCAUUCCACUCUGAAAGCGCCCGAUCUUGUCUGAUCUAGGAAUCUAAGAAGGAUCAGGCCCAGUUUGUACUUGGAUGGGAGACCGCCUGGGAAUACUGGGUGCUGUAGGCU
ensembl:rRNA 5S_rRNA 5S ribosomal RNA